UGGCUCUGGCAUCGAUGAAGAACGCAGCGAAAUGCGAUAAGUAAUGCGAAUUACAGAAUUCCAGUGAGUCAUCGAAUCUUUGAACGCACAUUGCGCCCUUUGGUAUUCCGAAGGGCAUGCCUGUUCGAGCGUCAUUAUCACCCCUCGGGCCCGUGCUCGGUGUUGGACGGCCGGUUUCGGGCGACCGAACCCCUCCUAAAGACAAUGAGGGCGGCCUGUGGUUCCCGCGGCACACUGAGCUUUUUACGAGGCAUGUGCUGGGGGGCGCUCAGGACCCCCGGUCUUCUCCUCUUGGUAGGAAGCUUCUCAUGGUUGACCUCGGAUCAGGUAGGAAUACGCGCUGA
rnacentral:misc_RNA from 1 species